UGGGGAAUCUUGCACAAUGGGCGAAAGCCUGAUGCAGCAACGCCGCGUGCGGGAUGAAGGCCCUAGGGUUGUAAACCGCUUUCAGUAGGGAAGAAAAUGACGGUACCUACAGAAGAAGGUGCGGCCAACUACGUGCCAGCAGCCGCGGUGACACGUAGGCACCAAGCGUUAUCCGGAUUUAUUGGGCGUAAAGAGCUCGUAGGCGGUUCGGUAAGUCGGGUGUAAAAACUCUGGGCUCAACCCAGAGAGGCCAUCCGAUACUGCUGUGACUAGAGUGCGGUAGGGGAGCGGGGAAUUCAUGGUGUAGCGGUGAAAUGCGCAGAUAUCACGAGGAACACCAGCGGCGAAGGCGCCGCUCUGGGCCGUAACUGACGCUGAGGAGCGAAAGCAUGGGUAGCAAACAGGAUUAGAUACCCUGGUAGUCCAUGCCGUAAACGUUGGGCACUAGGUGUGGGUCUCAACCAACGAGAUCCGCGCCGUCGCUAACGCAUUAAGUGCCCCGCCUGGGGAGUACGGUCGCAAGACUA
rnacentral:rRNA from 1 species